rnacentral:rRNA from 1 species
CCUACGGGUGGCAGCAGUGAGGAAUAUUGGUCAAUGGACGCGAGUCUGAACCAGCCAAGUAGCGUGAAGGAUGACUGCCCUAUGGGUUGUAAACUUCUUUUAUAUGGGAAUAAAAUGUUCCACGUGUGGGAUUUUGUAUGUACCAUAUGAAUAAGGAUCGGCUAACUCCGUGCCAGCAGCCGCGGUAAUACGGAGGAUCCGAGCGUUAGCCGGAUUUAUUGGGUUUAAAGGGAGCGUAGGUGGAUUGUUAAGUCAGUUGUGAAAGUUUGCGGCUCAACCGUAAAAUUGCAGUUGAGACUGGCAGUCUUGAGUACAGUAGAGGUGGGCGGAAUUCGUGGUGUAGCGGUGAAAUGCUUAGAGAUCACGAAGAACUCCGAUUGCGAAGGCAGUUCACUGGACUGCAACUGACACUGAGGCUCGAAAGUGUGGGUAUCAAACAGGAUUAGAUACCCGAGUAGUC